GAUGAACGCUGGCGGCGUGCCUAAUACAUGCAAGUCGAGCGAACAGAUGAGGAGCUUGCUCCUCUGACGUUAGCGGCGGACGGGUGAGUAACACGUGGAUAACCUACCUAUAAGACUGGGAUAACUUCGGGAAACCGGAGCUAAUACCGGAUAAUAUAUUGAACCGCAUGGUUCAAUAGUGAAAGACGGUUUUGCUGUCACUUAUAGAUGGAUCCGCGUCGCAUUAGCUAGUUGGUAAGGUAACGGCUUACCAAGGCAACGAUGCGUAGCCGACCUGAGAGGGUGAUCGGCCACACUGGAACUGAGACACGGUCCAGACUCCUACGGGAGGCAGCAGUAGGGAAUCUUCCGCAAUGGGCGAAAGCCUGACGGAGCAACGCCGCGUGAGUGAUGAAGGUCUUCGGAUCGUAAAACUCUGUUAUUAGGGAAGAACAAAUGUGUAAGUAACUAUGCACGUCUUGACGGUACCUAAUCAGAAAGCCACGGCUAACUACGUG
rnacentral:rRNA from 1 species